AAGACUAUUCUUUCAGGGAUCAUUUCUAUAGUUAACUUGAGAAAUGUGUUUCUUAAGUGUGAGUCCCGCCACCCAUGAUGAUGAGUUGUGGUGCUACGUCCUGAGCGCGAAGCGGGUACAGAGAAGUGAUUUAAUCACAAGCUCCGUACCAUAGAUGACUGUUCAAUGUUCCUUUAUGGGAACAUCAAGGGAAGGAGCAUGUUCAAAGUGAA